rnacentral:rRNA from 1 species
GAUGAACGCUGGCGGCGUGCCUAAUACAUGCAAGUCGAGCGAACAGACGAGGAGCUUGCUCCUCUGACGUUAGCGGCGGACGGGUGAGUAACACGUGGAUAACCUACCUAUAAGACUGGGAUCACUUCGGGAAACCGGAGCUCAUACCGGAUAAUAUAUUGAACCGCAUGGUUCAAUAGUGAAAGACGGUUUUGCUGUCACUGAUAGAUGGAUCCGCGCCGCAUUAGCUAGUUGGUAAGGUAACGGCUUACCAAGGCAACGAUGUGUAGCCGACCUGAGAGGGUGAUCGGCCACACUGGAACUGAGACACGGUCCAGACUCCUACGGGAGGCAGCAGUAGGGAAUCUUCCGCAAUGGGCGAAAGCCUGACGGAGCAACGCCGCGUGAGUGAUGAAGGUCUUCGGGUCGUAAAACUCUGUUAUUAGGGAAGAACAAAUGUGUAAGUAACUAUGCACGUCUUGACGGUACCUAAUCAGAAAGCCACGGCUAACUACGUG